GGUUAAGCGACUAAGCGUACACGGUGGAUGCCCUGGCAGUCAGAGGCGAUGAAGGACGUGCUAAUCUGCGAUAAGCGCCGGUAAGGUGAUAUGAACCGUUAUAACCGGCGAUUUCCGAAUGGGGAAACCCAGUGUGAUUCGUCACACUAUCAUUAACUGAAUCCAUAGGUUAAUGAGGCGAACCGGGGGAACUGAAACAUCUAAGUACCCCGAGGAAAAGAAAUCAACCGAGAUUCCCCCAGUAGCGGCGAGCGAACGGGGAGGAGCCCAGAGCCUGAAUCAGCAUGUGUGUUAGUGGAAGCGUCUGGAAAGGCGCGCGAUACAGGGUGACAGCCCCGUACACAAAAGCGCAUGUGCUGUGAGCUCGAUGAGUAGGGCGGGACACGUGGUAUCCUGUCUGAAUAUGGGGGGACCAUCCUCCAAGGCUAAAUACUCCUGACUGACCGAUAGUGAACCAGUACCGUGAGGGAAAGGCGAAAAGAACCCCGGCGAGGGGAGUGAAAAAGAACCUGAAACCGUGUACGUACAAGCAGUGGGAGCACCCUUCGGGGUGUGACUGCGUACCUUUUGUAUAAUGGGUCAGCGACUUAUAUUCUGUAGCAAGGUUAACCGAAUAGGGGAGCCGGAGGGAAACCGAGUCUUAAUUGGGCGUUAAGUUGCAGGGUAUAGACCCGAAACCCGGUGAUCUAGCCAUGGGCAGGUUGAAGGUUGGGUAACACUAACUGGAGGACCGAACCGACUAAUGUUGAAAAAUUAGCGGAUGACCUGUGGCUGGGGGUGAAAGGCCAAUCAAACCGGGAGAUAGCUGGUUCUCCCCGAAAGCUAUUUAGGUAGCGCCUCGUGAAUUCAUCUCCGGGGGUAGAGCACUGUUUCGGCUAGGGGGCCAUCCCGGCUUACCAACCCGAUGCAAACUGCGAAUACCGGAGAAUGUUAUCACGGGAGACACACGGCGGGUGCUAACGUCCGUCGUGAAGAGGGAAACAACCCAGACCGCCAGCUAAGGUCCCAAAGUCAUGGUUAAGUGGGAAACGAUGUGGGAAGGCCCAGACAGCCAGGAUGUUGGCUUAGAAGCAGCCAUCAUUUAAAGAAAGCGUAAUAGCUCACUGGUCGAGUCGGCCUGCGCGGAAGAUGUAACGGGGCUAAACCAUGCACCGAAGCUGCGGCAGCGAACGUAUCACCCAAGACAACUUUACGGAGUUGACGAUUGACGGAGCGAAGCGACGUCAAAGCGUUCAUUAAAGUCGAGUUGGCUUAGGGAUACGUUCGUUGGGUAGGGGAGCGUUCUGUAAGCCUGUGAAGGUGUGUCGUGAGGCAUGCUGGAGGUAUCAGAAGUGCGAAUGCUGACAUAAGUAACGAUAAAGCGGGUGAAAAGCCCGCUCGCCGGAAGACCAAGGGUUCCUGUCCAACGUUAAUCGGGGCAGGGUGAGUCGACCCCUAAGGCGAGGCCGAAAGGCGUAGUCGAUGGGAAACGGGUUAAUAUUCCCGUACUUGGUGUUACUGCGAAGGGGGGACGGAGAAGGCUAUGUUGGCCGGGCGACGGUUGUCCCGGUUUAAGCGUGUAGGUGUGUGUUCCAGGUAAAUCCGGUUCACUUUAACACUGAGGCGUGAUGACGAGGCACUACGGUGCUGAAGCAACAAAUGCCCUGCUUCCAGGAAAAGCCUCUAAGCAUCAGGUAACAUCAAAUCGUACCCCAAACCGACACAGGUGGUCAGGUAGAGAAUACCAAGGCGCUUGAGAGAACUCGGGUGAAGGAACUAGGCAAAAUGGUGCCGUAACUUCGGGAGAAGGCACGCUGACACGUAGGUGAAGUGAUUUACUCACGGAGCUGAAGUCAGUCGAAGAUACCAGCUGGCUGCAACUGUUUAUUAAAAACACAGCACUGUGCAAACACGAAAGUGGACGUAUACGGUGUGACGCCUGCCCGGUGCCGGAAGGUUAAUUGAUGGGGUCAGCGCAAGCGAAGCUCCUGAUCGAAGCCCCGGUAAACGGCGGCCGUAACUAUAACGGUCCUAAGGUAGCGAAAUUCCUUGUCGGGUAAGUUCCGACCUGCACGAAUGGCGUAAUGAUGGCCAGGCUGUCUCCACCCGAGACUCAGUGAAAUUGAACUCGCUGUGAAGAUGCAGUGUACCCGCGGCAAGACGGAAAGACCCCGUGAACCUUUACUAUAGCUUGACACUGAACAUUGAGCCUUGAUGUGUAGGAUAGGUGGGAGGCUUUGAAGUGUGGACGCCAGUCUGCAUGGAGCCGACCUUGAAAUACCACCCUUUAAUGUUUGAUGUUCUAACGUGGACCCGUAAUCCGGGUUGCGGACAGUGUCUGGUGGGUAGUUUGACUGGGGCGGUCUCCUCCUAAAGAGUAACGGAGGAGCACGAAGGUUGGCUAAUCCUGGUCGGACAUCAGGAGGUUAGUGCAAUGGCAUAAGCCAGCUUGACUGCGAGCGUGACGGCGCGAGCAGGUGCGAAAGCAGGUCAUAGUGAUCCGGUGGUUCUGAAUGGAAAGGCCAUCGCUCAACGGAUAAAAGGUACUCCGGGGAUAACAGGCUGAUACCGCCCAAGAGUUCAUAUCGACGGCGGUGUUUGGCACCUCGAUGUCGGCUCAUCACAUCCUGGGGCUGAAGUAGGUCCCAAGGGUAUGGCUGUUCGCCAUUUAAAGUGGUACGCGAGCUGGGUUUAGAACGUCGUGAGACAGUUCGGUCCCUAUCUGCCGUGGGCGCUGGAGAACUGAGGGGGGCUGCUCCUAGUACGAGAGGACCGGAGUGGACGCAUCACUGGUGUUCGGGUUGUCAUGCCAAUGGCACUGCCCGGUAGCUAAAUGCGGAAGAGAUAAGUGCUGAAAGCAUCUAAGCACGAAACUUGCCCCGAGAUGAGUUCUCCCUGAGACUUAGAGUCUCCUGAAGGAACGUUGAAGACGACGACGUUGAUAGGCCGGGUGUGUAAGCGCAGCGAUGCGUUGAGCUAACCGGUACUAAUGAACCGUGAGGCUUAACCUU
rnacentral:rRNA from 1 species